AUAGCACAUGAACCUGAGUAGGAACCGGAGGGGCUGCACGGCGGCGAGCAGCAGAAGGAUUGACUACGCGCCCGUGUGUCAUGCUACAUGAUUCAUCUCUUCCCUUCCUUCUGUACACCGGCGCUGUUCACCUCUUCUUCCCAGCAUGAGGACGACCUGGAACCCAGCUUGGCAUGGAUGUGGUCAGGUUUGAUAUCAGCAAACACUCAAGAUCAGAUCCUCCUUAAUUUACCUUUCAUCCCAUGUCCCUCCAACCACUAGCUAGAGAAGUCAACCCUAUAAGGAAAGUAUGGAUCAUACUGAGCCAUGACGAGAAAAUGGUGUUGCAAUUGUUGGGCUAGCUUGCCUCAUGAAUUGCUUUGGAAUUUGA